AUUGAACGCUGGCGGCAGGCUUAACACAUGCAAGUCGAGCGGGGGAAGGUAGCUUGCUACCGGACCUAGCGGCGGACGGGUGAGUAAUGCUUAGGAAUCUGCCUAUUAGUGGGGGACAACAUCUCGAAAGGGAUGCUAAUGCCGCAUACGUCCUACGGGAGAAAGCAGGGGAUCUUCGGACCUUGCGCUAAUAGAUGAGCCGAAGUCGGAUUGGCUAGUUGGUGGGGUAAAGGCCUACCAAGGCGACGAUCUGUAGCGGGUCUGAGAGGAUGAUCCGCCACACUGGGCCUGAGACACGGCCCAGACUCCUACGGGAGGCAGCAGUGGGGAAUAUUGGAAAAUGGGGGGAACCCUGAUCCAGCCAUGCCGCGUGUGUGAGGAAGGCCUUAUGGUUGUAAAGCACUUUAAGCGAGGAGGAGGCUACUCUAGUUAAUACCUAGGGAUAGUGGACGUUACUCGCAGAAUAAGCACCGGCUAACUCUGUGCCAGCCGCCGCCGUAA
rnacentral:rRNA from 1 species